rnacentral:rRNA from 1 species
GAUGAACGCUGGCGGCGUGCCUAAUACAUGCAAGUAGAACGCUGAAGCUUGGUGCUUGCACCGAGCGGAUGAGUUGCGAACGGGUGAGUAACGCGUAGGUAACCUGCCUGGUAGCGGGGGAUAACUAUUGGAAACGAUAGCUAAUACCGCAUAACAGUAGAUAUUGCAUGAUAUCUGCUUGAAAGGUGCAAAUGCAUCACUACCAGAUGGACCUGCGUUGUAUUAGCUAGUUGGUGAGGUAACGGCUCACCAAGGCGACGAUACAUAGCCGACCUGAGAGGGUGAUCGGCCACACUGGGACUGAGACACGGCCCAGACUCCUACGGGAGGCAGCAGUAGGGAAUCUUCGGCAAUGGGGGGAACCCUGACCGAGCAACGCCGCGUGAGUGAAGAAGGUUUUCGGAUCGUAAAGCUCUGUUGUAAGAGAAGAACGAGUGUGAGAGUGGAAAGUUCACACUGUGACGGUAUCUACCAG